ACGAGACUCAUCCGAGGCCUCGUAAUCGGAAUGAGUACACUUUAAAUCCUUUAACAAAAAUCCAUUGGAGGGCAAGUCUGGUGCCAGCAGCCGCGGUAAUUCCAGCUCCAAUAGCGUAUAUUAAAGUUGUUGCGGUUAAAAAGCUCGUAGUCGAAUCUGUGUCCCGCGCUGUCGGUUCACCGCUCGCGGUGUUCAACUGGCAUGUUUUGCGGGACGUCCUACCGGUGGGUGGCCCCCAAUUGCAAUCCCGUCGCGGUGCACUUAAUUGUGUGUCGAGGUGGGCCGGUACGUUUACUUUGAACAAAUUAGAGUGCUUAAGGCAGGCUCAAAUUUCGCCUGAAUAUUGUGUGCAUGGAAUAAUGGAAUAGGACCUCGGUUCUAUUUUGUUGGUUUUCGGAACUCCGAGGUAAUGAUUAAUACGGACAGAUGGGGGCAUUCGUAUUGCGACGUUAGAGGUGAAAUUCUUGGAUCGUCGCAAGACGGACAGAAGCGAAAGCAUUUGCCAAAAAUGUUUUGAUUGAUCAAGAACGAAAGUUAGAGGUUCGAAGGCGAUCAGAUACCGCCCUAGUUCUAACCAUAAACGAUGCCAGCUAGCGAUCCGCCGAAGUUCCUCCGAUGACUCGGCGGGCAGCUUCCGGGAAACCAAAGCUUUUGGGUUCCGGGGGAAGUAUGGUUGCAAAGCUGAAACUUAAAGGAAUUGACGGAAGGGCACCACCAGGAGUGGAGCCUGCGGCUUAAUUUGACUCAACACGGGAAACCUCAC
rnacentral:rRNA from 1 species